AAGUCGUAACAAGGUUUCCGUAGGUGAACCUGCGGAAGGAUCAUUACAUUCAGUAGCCUAGCUACUUGUUUACACCCUUGUUUUUUGCGUACCUAUUGUUUCCUCGGCGGGCUUGCUCGCCGGUUGGACAAAACUAUAACCUUUUUUUUAUGCAGUUGCAAUCAGCGUCAGUAAAAACAAUGUAAUUAUUACAACUUUCAACAACGGAUCUCUUGGUUCUG
rnacentral:misc_RNA from 1 species